rnacentral:rRNA from 1 species
GACGAACGCUGGCGGCGUGCUUAACACAUGCAAGUCGAACGGAAAGGCCCUGCUUUUGUGGGGUGCUCGAGUGGCGAACGGGUGAGUAACACGUGAGUAACCUGCCCUUGACUUUGGGAUAACUUCAGGAAACUGGGGCUAAUACCGGAUAGGAGCUCCUGCUGCAUGGUGUGGGUUGGAAAGUUUCGGCGGUUGGGGAUGGACUCGCGGCUUAUCAGCUUGUUGGUGGGGUAGUGGCUUACCAAGGCUUUGACGGGUAGCCGGCCUGAGAGGGUGACCGGCCACAUUGGGUCUGAGAUACGGCCCAGACUCCUACGGGAGGCAGCAGUGGGGAAUAUUGCACAAUGGGCGGAAGCCUGAUGCAGCGACGCCGCGUGCGGGAUGACGGCCUUCGGGUUGUAUACCGCUUUCGCCUGUGACGAAGCGUGAGUGACGGUAAUGGGUAAAGAAGCACCGGCUAACUACGUG